ensembl:snoRNA
CCGAUACAAUGAUGAUAACAUAGUUCAGCAGACUAACACUGAUGAGCAAGCAGUAUUGUCUUUCGCUCCUAUCUGAUGUAUCUG